rnacentral:rRNA from 1 species
CCUACGGGCGGCAGCAGUGGGGGAUAUUGCACAAUGGGGGGAACCCUGAUGCAGCGACGCCGCGUGGGUGAAGGAGUGCUUCGGCAUGUAAAGCCCUAUUGGCAGGGAAGAAGCCAGACGGUACCUGACUAAGAAGCCCCGGCUAACCACGUGCCAGCAGCCGCGGUAAUACGUAGGGGGCGAGCGUUAUCCGGAUUCACUGGGUGUAAAGGGAGCGUAGACGGCCAUGCAAGCCAGGGGUGAAAGCCCGGGGCCCAACCCCGGGACUGCCCUUGGAACUGUGCGGCUAGAGUGCGGGAGGGGCAGGCGGAAUUCCUGGUGUAGCGGUGAAAUGCGUAGAUAUCAGGAGGAACACCGGCGGCGAAGGCGGCCUGCUGGACCGCGACUGACGUUGAGGCUCGAAAGCGUGGGGAGCGAACAGGAUUAGAUACCCCUGUAGUC